AUGCAAGGUAAAAAGAAGUCUGUUUCUGUUGUGUCUGCCGCCAAUAGUUCCAAGCCAAUUGUUGCCAUGCUACGAAGAACACCCGAGGAUCUUGUAGAUGAAAGACGCUCUGGGUGUUCUCAAAGCACCAUGGAGUCCAGCACAAAGACUCCAGAAGAGAGGCAGUAUGUCAAUAUGCAGUGGGCAUUGUUCUUUUACGAGUGUGGCAUUCCAUUCAACGCUGCAAGUAGUAGGCAGUUUGAGGUUGCAAUUGAAGCCUCUUGUCAAUAUGGGUCAGGUUACAAGCCUCCUAGUGCACAUGAGCUGAGAGAGAAAUUGCUUAAUGAUUGUGUGAAGGAAACAGGACUUUUGAGGAGGCAACACGAGGCAGCAUGGAAAAAAUAUGGAUGCACACUCAUGUCGGAUGGCUGGUCGGAUAAAAGAGGACGCCAUUUGAUUAACUUCCUUGUUAAUAGUCCAGAGGGCACUUUCUUCUUGGAGUCGGUUGAUGCCUCAAGUGUAUGUCAUGAUGGUGAUAUGAUAGCUGAUUUGCUUGAGAAGAGAAUUCUGGAUGUUGGAAAAGAGAAUGUGGUACAAGUUAUCACCGAUAAUGGUGCUAAUUACAAGAAAGCUGGCCACCUUCUAAUGGAGAGGAUGCCUACUCUAUAUUGGAGCCCAUGUGCAUGUCAUUGCUUGGACCUAAUGUUGGAAGAUAUAGGAAAGUUGAAGGCAUUUAAGAAGCCUAUUGCAGGGGCUAGACGUGUCACAACUUUCAUCUAUAGACAUGGAAGACUUCUUAGUCUAAUGAGGAAGGCCACGGGUGGGGAUCUUGUGAGACCAGCAGCCACUCGUUUUGCCACAGCCAUCCUCACACUUAGGAGUUUGGUCAAUGACGAUCAAGAGCCAACUAAUGUUGACCAAGAUGGUGAAGACAACACCAAUGCCAAUGAGUUUGAUGAUGAUGACUUUUGA
rnacentral:rRNA from 1 species